rnacentral:rRNA from 1 species
CUACGGGAGGCUCCAGUGGGGAAUAUUGCACAAUGGAGGAAACUCUGAUGCAGCAACGCCGCGUGGAGGAUGACACUUUUCGGAGCGUAAACUCCUUUUAUAUAGGAAGAUAAUGACGGUACUAUAUGAAUAAGCACCGGCUAACUCCGUGCCAGCAGCCGCGGGAAUACGGAGGGUGCAAGCGUUACUCGGAAUCACUGGGCGUAAAGAGCGUGUAGGCGGGUUAAUAAGUCAGAAGUGAAAUCCUAUGGCUCAACCAUAGAACUGCUUUUGAAACUGUUAACCUAGAAUAUGGGAGAGGUAGAUGGAAUUUCUGGUGUAGGGGUAAAAUCCGUAGAGAUCAGAAGGAAUACCGAUUGCGAAGGCGAUCUACUGGAACAUUAUUGACACUGAGACGCGAAAGCGUGGGGAGCAAACAGGAUUAGAUACCCUUGUAGUC